UAGCAAGCAGGACUGAAACACACACACUCCAUGCCAUUCAGCUGAUGCACAGGCAGUUUAAUCCUGCUUUCUGCAGGCUUCGGAAUUACAGUUGCUACAACAGGCAGAAAAAUAAUUAAGUGGUCCACCAAGACCAUCAGCAAUUUUCAAGUGGUCCAUGGGGGAGAAGUCUGGGAAUCACAGCCCUAAGAACAGACCUCCUGAUAAGGUGGUAUCUGCAGAAGGCGCUCAACUGCAGAGCAUGAUGAUCGACUAGGUAUAUAAGGGACCCUGCUGAGAAUUCUUAUAACAAAAGAAGAGUGAGGCCCUCGACGGAUAAAAAGAAGUGGGGCCAUAACUGUGGUUGCUCCCAAGUCAACAGAAGGAUUUGCCAGAGAAGGUCCAGCUGUGUUUUCUCUCUCUCUUGGCCUUGAAGCGGGAAUCUGUAGAGAUAUCUAAACGAGUGGUGGAAUGAAGCAACAGAGUUCAGAGUGGAUGGAUUAGUCUGUACUACUUCAGACAGCAGGGGGCAUGGUGUGAUCUGCCAAGGAAGCUCAGCAGUCUAAGUUUGUUCAUGUUGUAGUUUAUUUACGUCCAAGUUAAAUUCUAUUUCUGUUACCUUAUCUUUUAUAUUAUUAAACUUUGUUUUGUAAAGGUCCAAGGCAGGGGCUCCCAAACUGUGGCCACCAGUGAUCCACAAGCUUCAUUCAGGUAGUCCGAGUCAGUGUGUUUGUGGAAAGAUGGGAGACAGCACAUCCAUUGCAUUGAAUAUUCACGUUGACUUUUAAUUGUAUUUUUAUUGCCUCUUUUAUUUGUUACAUUGCAUUUUAUUGUAUUGCAAUUUAAAUCCUAUGAAAUUAAGUUGCUACAGCUGGCAGGAAAAAAAAUCAUUAAGUGGUCAACCAAGACUCUCAAUAAUUUUCAAGUGGUGCAGGAGUUUGGGAUCCUCUGCUGUAAGGACUAGGCACACAGAUGAAUGAAUCCGAUCAAACAGUUGCAGGUGGUAAAACUGGGAAGGGGGUGCUUUAGUGAAUUCUUGGUGGAGGGGUGGAGGAUUCUCCAAUGGUGUGGAUGGGGACAAAAAAAGAAAACUCUUGGAAAAUGGUCUUCUGGGAAAUUUUGGCUUGGUUGAUACUUGUUCAUUUUGGGUGGAUGAAACUGGCGGUGCUGUGAGGGAUCAAGGUUAGGACUUUGGAGCAGAUGUUCAGGGGCCUCCCUCAGCUGAAUGAACAGGAAGGUCCCCAAACCUAGCAGGGCUGGCAUCUCACAUUCUAAAAUAACACAAUACACAUUGCCAUCUAAAGGGGACGGGGUCACCAUGAGAUCAUUUAGGCCAGAGUGUGAAAAGCUACCUAACUACAUCAGUUGGGGAAAGAAGCAAUCAGUGAGGAGAGGUGGGUUCAAGCCAUUGCUUCUUUCAACAAAGAAAGAUUAUAGCAGAAUGUCAGUCUGUCACUGCCCACAAAUAAAUUGGCCCUCCCAAUUUAA